rnacentral:rRNA from 1 species
UAGGGAAUAUUGCUUAAUGGGCGAAAGCCUGAAGCAGCAACGCCGCGUGUGUGAAGAAGGCCUUCGGGUUGUAAAACACUUUUUGAGGGAAUGAGGAAGGACAGUACCCUCAGAAUAAGCCUCGGCUAACUACGUGCCAGCAGCCGCGGUAAAACGUAGGAGGCGAGCGUUAUCCGGAUUUACUGGGCGUAAAGCGCGUGCAGGCGGCACGGCAAGUUGGAUGUGAAAGCUCCCGGCUUAACUGGGAGAGGUCGUUCAAAACUGCGGAGCUAGAGUGCGGGAGGGGGAGGUGGAAUUGCGGGUGUAGUGGUGAAAUGCGUAGAUAUCCGGAGGAACACCAGUGGCGAAAGCGGCCUCCUGGUCCGCAACUGACGCUCAGACGCGAAAGCUAGGGUAGCAAACGG